ensembl:miRNA gmo-mir-728a gmo-mir-728a
AAUGUAGUAGUACUAUAAGUAUACGUGGACAAUGGAAGUAUACUAAGUACACUACGUUUA